rnacentral:rRNA from 1 species
UUAAAUUGAAGAGUUUGAUCAUGGCUCAGAUUGAACGCUGGCGGCAGGCCUAACACAUGCAAGUCGAACGGUAACAGGAAGCAGCUUGCUGCUUCGCUGACGAGUGGCGGACGGGUGAGUAAUGUCUGGGAAACUGCCUGAUGGAGGGGGAUAACUACUGGAAACGGUAGCUAAUACCGCAUAACGUCGCAAGACCAAAGAGGGGGACCUUCGGGCCUCUUGCCAUCGGAUGUGCCCAGAUGGGAUUAGCUUGUUGGUGGGGUAACGGCUCACCAAGGCGACGAUCCCUAGCUGGUCUGAGAGGAUGACCAGCCACACUGGAACUGAGACACGGUCCAGACUCCUACGGGAGGCAGCAGUGGGGAAUAUUGCACAAUGGGCGCAAGCCUGAUGCAGCCAUGCCGCGUGUAUGAAGAAGGCCUUCGGGUUGUAAAGUACUUUCAGCGGGGAGGAAGGGAGUAAAGUUAAUACCUUUGCUCAUUGACGUUACCCGCAGAAGAAGCACCGGCUAACUCCGUGCCAGCAGCCGCGGUAAUACGGAGGGUGCAAGCGUUAAUCGGAAUUACUGGGCGUAAAGCGCACGCAGGCGGUUUGUUAAGUCAGAUGUGAAAUCCCCGGGCUCAACCUGGGAACUGCAUCUGAUACUGGCAAGCUUGAGUCUCGUAGAGGGGGGUAGAAUUCCAGGUGUAGCGGUGAAAUGCGUAGAGAUCUGGAGGAAUACCGGUGGCGAAGGCGGCCCCCUGGACGAAGACUGACGCUCAGGUGCGAAAGCGUGGGGAGCAAACAGGAUUAGAUACCCUGGUAGUCCACGCCGUAAACGAUGUCGACUUGGAGGUUGUGCCCUUGAGGCGUGGCUUCCGGAGCUAACGCGUUAAGUCGACCGCCUGGGGAGUACGGCCGCAAGGUUAAAACUCAAAUGAAUUGACGGGGGCCCGCACAAGCGGUGGAGCAUGUGGUUUAAUUCGAUGCAACGCGAGGAACCUUACCUGGUCUUGACAUCCACGGAAGUUUUCAGAGAUGAGAAUGUGCCUUCGGGAACCGUGAGACAGGUGCUGCAUGGCUGUCGUCAGCUCGUGUUGUGAAAUGUUGGGUUAAGUCCCGCAACGAGCGCAACCCUUAUCCUUUGUUGCCAGCGGUCCGGCCGGGAACUCAAAGGAGACUGCCAGUGAUAAACUGGAGGAAGGUGGGGAUGACGUCAAGUCAUCAUGGCCCUUACGACCAGGGCUACACACGUGCUACAAUGGCGCAUACAAAGAGAAGCGACCUCGCGAGAGCAAGCGGACCUCAUAAAGUGCGUCGUAGUCCGGAUUGGAGUCUGCAACUCGACUCCAUGAAGUCGGAAUCGCUAGUAAUCGUGGAUCAGAAUGCCACGGUGAAUACGUUCCCGGGCCUUGUACACACCGCCCGUCACACCAUGGGAGUGGGUUGCAAAAGAAGUAGGUAGCUUAACCUUCGGGAGGGCGCUUACCACUUUGUGAUUCAUGACUGGGGUGAAGUCGUAACAAGGUAACCGUAGGGGAACCUGCGGUUGGAUCACCUCCUUACCUUAAAGAAGC